rnacentral:rRNA from 1 species
UACGAAGGGGGCUAGCGUUGCUCGGAAUCACUGGGCGUAAAGGGUGCGUAGGCGGGUCUUUUAGUCAGGGGUGAAAUCCUGGAGCUCAACUCCAGAACUGCCUUUGAUACUGAAGAUCUUGAGUCCGGGAGAGGUGAGUGGAACUGCGAGUGUAGAGGUGAAAUUCGUAGAUAUUCGCAAGAACACCAGUGGCGAAGGCGGCUCACUGGCCCGGUACUGACGCUGAGGCACGAAAGCGUGGGGAGCAAACAGG